AGCCGUACACGCAAUUUGGGAAACUCAACAGUAUAACUUUUCUCCGAGUUCUUAUUCUCAUUAAUGGCGGGCCCUCCUUGUAGAGGGAUUACAAAGAUGGGGAUAGGCUCCUAAACGUGCAAAUUCGGAGUUUUUACACAAUUUCUGUACGGCUACCUCU
rnacentral:sRNA from 1 species